GAUCCUGGCUCAGAACGAACGCUGGCGGCAGGUCUUAGGCAUGCAAGUCGAACGGAUGACAGAGAGCUUGCUCUCUGAAGUCAGUGGCGCACGAGUGAGUAACGCGUGGGAAACUGCCCUUCACUGGGGAAUAACGUUUGGAAACGAACGCUAAUACCGCAUACGCCCGCAAGGGGAAAGAUUUAUCGGUGAUGGAUGUGCCCGCGUUGGAUUAGCUAGUUGGUGGGGUAAUAGCCUACCAAGGCGAUGAUCCAUAGCUGGUCUGAGAGGACGAUCAGCCACGCUGGAACGGAGACACGGUCCAGACUCCUACGGGAGGCAGCAGCUAAGAAUAUUGGGCAAUGGAGGAAACUCUGACCCAAGCCAUGCCGCGUGAAUGAAGAAGGCCUUCGGGUUGUAAAGUUCUUUUAGUCAUGAAGAUGAUGACAGUAGUGACAGAAAAAGCACCGGCUAACUUCGUGCCAGCCGCGGC
rnacentral:rRNA from 1 species